rnacentral:lncRNA from 12 species
AUGGAUAAGUGGCAGUUUUGCGAGAGGCAACGCAAGAGCCUCCUCCUGGGGUUGCUGCGGCGCUGGGGGCUCGGCGCAGGCAGGCGAGCACCGGGUACCGAGCCCGGCGGGGUCACAGCGUGCCCGCGGCGCUGGGGAGAGGGCUGCGGCCAGAGCCGCGCUGGAGAGCGGGGCAAACGUGUGCCUUUCUGCCUGGCUGCCCGGGGACGCGGUGGGGGCUGCCCGAGCCGUACCGGCGCUAGCGCCCCACUCCCCCGCCGGACCGCCCGGAGCUGAGCCCAUCUGACCGAAGGAGGGGCCGGCACCAGGAGCGCGGCAGCGCCUGAGGUGUUCCGUGAGCUGCAGCGGGAUGGGGUGUUGGGGAAGCAAAUAAAUCACUAAGAAGCCGCGAUGGUACGGGAGGCUGGCGGGCAGCGGCUUCUCGGAAGGCUCCCAUCCCGCAAACGCUUCGGUCGCUGCUUCCAGCUGCUUCCCUUGGCAUCCUAGAGCUGCGCCGCCGGACACCAGUCUGUCGGGAAGCGGGGUCCCUCCGCUCUCCCCUGCGCUGCCACCCAAGCUCUUGCAGCGCUUGGUGUUGGCUUGAGGGAAAAGCUGCCAUUUAAAAAUAAACUAUUUCUGUUCCUUUUGGUUGCAAAGGUCCUGUCCUUACGUGGUGGAGAAUUACCUUGCUCCUUUUGGGCUUUUAGUUGACUGUUUCAACAUAGGGAAUGUUAAGCAGGUUUAAUUUGUUAUUGUUUCUAGGUGUUACAAAAACAGUAUUCUCAUGUUGUUAAUUACAUUAGCAAGGCAAAUAACAGUCCCACUUUUAACGUGUACAUUUAUAUAAGCAUAAUUAUACCUCCC